UACGUAGGGGGCAAGCGUUGUCCGGAAUUAUUGGGCGUAAAGAGCGUGUAGGCGGCUUUACAGGUCCGUUGUGAAAACUCGAGGCUCAACCUCGAGACGCCGGUGGAAACCGUAAGCUAGAGUCCGGAAGAGGAGAGUGGAAUUCCUGGUGUAGCGGUGAAAUGCGCAGAUAUCAGGAGGAACACCGGUGGCGAAGGCGGGACUCUGGGCCGAUACUGACGCUGAGGAGCGAAAGCGUGGGAGCGAACAGG
rnacentral:rRNA from 1 species